AGCAAAUGAUCCGCUUCACAAACGUCCGCAACACCCGACAGGCAGGCGUCAGCCGCUGAUACCUCCAUCACUUCCUCGAAUACCAGAAGAGGGAGACGCUUCGAAAACGUGGGAUCAGGCGACUAAACAAAUAAUCAACAGAGUUCUAGCUGGAAGGGGACCUGCGCCUCUUACGGGAUUCGCCCAUCAUCGACCACGCCAUCCUCCUGUACCAGGCCAACGUCGUGGUAU
rnacentral:lncRNA from 1 species